rnacentral:rRNA from 1 species
AACGAACGCUGGCGGCAUGCCUAACACAUGCAAGUCGAACGAAACCUUCCGGUCUGGUGUCGCCCGGGUGCGUAACGCUGGGUAACCUGCCUGUAAGCUGCGAAUAACUUCGGGAAAUUUUAAGUAAAACCGGGUGAAUUCUUCGUACGAAUGAUUUCUCGCCUUUAGAUGGGGCCGAGUUUGAUUGGCUAGUUGGUGGGGUAAAGGCAUACCACGUCGUCGAGCCAUAGCUGGUCUGAGAGGAUGAUCAGCCACACUGGGACUGAGACCCGGCCCAGACGCGUACGGGAGGCAGCGGUGGGGGAUAUAGGGGAGGGGGCGUGAGGCUGCAACAGCGAGGGCGGGAGAGUGAUGAAGGGGUUGGGGUUGUAAUGCUCUUUUAGCGGAGCUGGUAAUGACAGUAUCGGGAGAAGAAGCACCGGCUAACUACGUG